rnacentral:siRNA from 1 species
GAAGCAUAUAAUCGAAACUUCAGA